UGUGUCUAUGAUGAUAAUUUGGCUCCCUCUACUGAAGUCUCUUGAGGAUAACUGCCAUUCGUUACCCAAUUUCUGUCUGAGAUACU
rnacentral:snoRNA from 1 species